CUCCCUGGUGAGGCUCUUCUAGCUGGACGCCCCCUGCUGAGGCUCUCCUACCCGGACGCCCCCUGCUGAGGCGCUCCUACCUGGAAGGCCCCCUCUGAGAUGCUGUGCAGCUGGUUGUUGGCCAGGAUGAGGUGC